CGAAGAACCUUACCAGGUCUUGACAUCCCGAUGCUAUUCUAGAGAUAGAAAGUACUUCGGUACAUCGGUGACAGGUGGUGCAUGGUUGUCGUCAGCUCGUGUCGUGAGAUGUUGGGUUAAGUCCCGCAACGAGCGCAACCCCUAUUGUUAGUUGCCAUCAUUCAGUUGGGCACUCUAGCGAGACUGCCGGUAAUAAACCGGAGGAAGGUGGGAUGACGUCAAAUCAUCAUGCCCCUUAUGACCUGGGCUACACACGUGCUACAAUGGUUGGUACAACGAGUUGCGAGUCGGUGACGGCGAGCUAAUCUCUUAAAGCCAAUCUCAGUUCGGAUUGUAGGCUGCAACUCGCCUACAUGAAGUCGGAAUCGCUAGUAAUCGCGGAUCAGCACGCCGCGGUGAAUACGUUCCCGGGCCUU
rnacentral:rRNA from 1 species